rnacentral:rRNA from 1 species
AACGAACGCUGGCGGCGCGUCUUAAGCAUGCAAGUCGAACGGCAAGAGGGGAGCUUGCUUCUCUCCUAGAGUGGCGGACUGGUGAGGAACACGUGGGUAAUCUACCCUUAAGAUGGGGAUAGCUGCUAGAAAUAGCAGGUAAUACCGAAUACACUCGGCAUAUCACAAGAGGUGUUGAGGAAAGGAAGCUACGGCUUCGCUUGAGGAUGAGCUUGCGUCCCAUUAGCUAGUUGGUGAGGUAAAGGCCCACCAAGGCGACGAUGGGUAUCCGGCCUGAGAGGGUGAACGGACACAUUGGGACUGAGAUACGGCCCAAACUCCUACGGGAGGCAGCAGCUAAGAAUAUUCCGCAAUGGACGGAAGUCCGACGGAGCGACGCCGCGUGGAUGAAGAAGGCUGAAAAGUUGUAAAAUCCUUUUGUUGAUGAAGAAUAAGGGUGAGAGGGAAUGCUCAUCUGAUGACGGUAAUCGACGAAUAAGCCCCGGCUAAUUACGUG